rnacentral:rRNA from 1 species
UACAGAGGGUGCAAGCGUUGUUCGGAAUUACUGGGCGUAAAGCGCACGCAGGUGGCUGAGUCAGUCGAUUGUGAAAGCCCUGGGCUUAACCUGGGAAUUGCAGUCGAUACUACUUAGCUAGAGUAUGGGAGAGGGCAGUGGAAUUCCCGGUGUAGCGGUGAAAUGCGUAGAUAUCAAGAGGAACACCAGUGGCGAAGGCGAGUCCCUGGACAACACCUGACACUGAGGCACGAAAGCUAGGGGAGCAAACGGG